rnacentral:misc_RNA from 1 species
UCCGGUUUGCUACCGGCAGUCUCGCAUGAGUCCCCGGCCGAACCGCUGGCAACAUGCGACGGGGGUUGCGCUCGUUGCGGGACUUAACCCAACAUCUCACGACACGAGCUGACGACAGCCAUGCACCACCUGUGACGGCGCCCCGAAGGGAAGACGUGUUUCCACGCCGGUCGCCGACAUGUCAAGCCCAGGUAAGGUUCUUCGCGUUGCAUCGAAUUAAACCACAUGCUCCGCUGCUUGUGCGGGUCCCCGUCAAUUCCUUUGAGUUUUAGCCUUGCGGCCGUACUCCCCAGGCGGAGAACUUAAUGCGUUAGCGACGGCACGGGAGGAGUCGACACCUCCCACACCUAGUGCCCAUCGUUUACAGCGUGGACUAC